CUUGCUGGCUCCCGCCCCCUCCACGCCCCGGGCUCUUCCCGCCGCCUUCACCAGCCCGCCCGUCUCCCUUUCCAGUCGGGCCGGCGGGGCUCGCACGCUCGGCGGCUCGGGCUGUGGGACCGUCGACACACCCUUCAUACCCUUUCCAGAAACUCUUGGCUUGUAACUGCGAAGCCGACAAGGGAGCAAAGAGCUGGGAGAACUGGAGAAAACCGCUCUCACCUGACUUGAUUCUGGCUGGAAGUGGAUCUUGCAUCCUAACAACCGACAUCUGCAGCGCACUCUCAGAGGCCCUAGGGUAACUUGUCUCAGAGAUUCCUCCAGAACGGAGCCCUUGGCUGGACCCAUGCCCCAGCCUGUGCCCCCAUGACCAGGUGGCUAGCACUCCUCGUGUCUGCAACCCAGAACCCUGGCUGACCACACUGAGCAGGAUGCGCCAGCAGGUUAAUGGCCACGGUUCAGGCUCUGAUGCCCACAGUGGCGGAGAGUCCCUCAGAGAAGAGCUGCAGGAAUUCCUGGGCGGGGAGGCCCUGCUGCACCAGCUGGAUGACCUCACCCAGGUGAAUCCUGUCACACUAGAGACAGUCCUGAGGUGUCUGCAGGCCCGGUACUCAGCAGACAUGUUCUACACCAACGCUGGCUGCACCCUGGUGGCUCUGAACCCCUUCAAGCCCGUCCCUCAGCUCUACUCCACGGAACUGAUGCAAGAGUACCACGCUGCUCCUCAGCCCCAGAAACUGAAGCCCCACAUCUUCACUGUGGGUGAACAGACCUACAGGAAUGUGAAGAGCCUGAUGGAGCCAGUCAACCAGUCUAUCGUUGUCAGUGGAGAGAGUGGUGCCGGAAAGACAUGGACGUCCCGCUGCCUGAUGAAGUUCUACGCUGUGGUGGCCGCCUCACCCACAUCCCGGGAGAGCCACAAGAUCGCAGAGAGGAUCGAGCAGCGCAUCUUGAACUCCAACCCCGUCAUGGAAGCUUUUGGGAACGCGGGCACACUGAGGAAUAACAACAGCAGCCGCUUUGGGAAGUUCAUCCAGCUCCAGCUGAACAGAACCCAGCAGAUGACCGGAGCUGCAGUUCAGACCUACCUCCUAGAGAAAACUCGAGUGGCCUGCCAGGCCUCCAGCGAGAGGAACUUCCACAUCUUCUAUCAGAUCUGCAAAGGAGCCAGUGCAGACGAGAGGCUCCAAUGGCACCUCCCCGAGGGAGCCACCUUCUCCUGGCUGCCCAACCCAGAGAGGACCUUGGAAGAAGAUUGUUUCGAGGUGACCAGGGAGGCCAUGCUUCAUUUGGGCAUCGAUGCCCCCACCCAGAACAACAUCUUUCAGGCCCUAGCUGGACUCCUGCACCUCGGCAACAUCCAGUUCGCUGACUCCAGGGACGAAGCCCAGCCCUGCCAGCUGAUGGACAGUGCUAAGUGCUCUGCCAGGACAUCUGCCUCGCUGCUGCGGCUUCCAGAAGACCUUCUGCUAGAGACACUGCAGAUUCGAACCAUCAGGGCAGGCAGGCAGCAGCAGGUGUUCCAGAAGCCCUGCUCCCGGGCUGAGUGUGACACCCGCAGAGACUGUCUGGCCAAACUGGUCUAUGCAAGGCUGUUUGACUGGCUGGUGUCGGUGAUCAACAGCAGCAUCUGUGCAGACCCCGACUCCUGGACCACUUUCAUAGGCUUGCUGGAUGUGUACGGGUUUGAGUCGUUUCCCAACAACAGUCUGGAACAGUUGUGUAUCAACUACGCCAAUGAGAAGCUGCAGCAGCACUUCGUGGCUCACUACCUCAGGGCUCAGCAGGAGGAGUACGCGGCUGAGGGCCUGCAGUGGUCAUUUGUCAACUACCAGGACAACCAGACCUGUUUGGAUCUCAUUGAGGGGAGCCCCAUCAGCAUCUGCUCCCUCAUGAACGAGGAAUGCCGCCUCAAUCGGCCAAGCAGCGCAGCCCAGCUCCAGACACGCAUCGAGAGCGCCCUGGCGGGCAGCCCCUGCCUAGGCCACGACAAGCUCAGCCAGGAGCCCAGCUUCAUUGUGGUGCAUUACGCAGGGCCUGUGCGGUACCACACCGCGGGCCUGGUGGAGAAGAACAAGGACCCCGUUCCCCCGGAGCUGACCAGGCUCCUGCAGCAAUCCCAGGACCCCCUGCUCAAGGUGCUGUUUCCUCCUGACCCUGAAGAGAAGUCCCAGGAGGAGCCCUCUGGCCAGAGCAGGACCCCAGUGUUGACCGUGGUGUCCAAGUUCAAGGCCUCCCUGGAGCAGCUUCUGCAGGUCCUGCAUAGCACCACGCCCCACUACAUCCGCUGCAUCAAGCCCAACAGCCAGGGCCAGGCACAGAUGUUCCACCCGGAGGAGGUCCUGAGCCAGCUGGAGGCCUGCGGCCUCGUGGAGACCAUCCACAUCAGCGCUGCCGGCUUCCCCAUCCGGGUCUCUCACCGGAACUUCGUGGAGCGGUAUGAGUUACUGAGGCGGCUCCGUCCUGGCACAGCCCCCAGCCAGUCUGCAGAUGAAGGGCGCUCAGCCCCGGGGCCCCUGGUUGAUCUUGCUGCUGUUUCUCGUCUGCGGCGUCUCCUUGGGCGGCCUCUGUCCCCAGAAAGGCACUGGGCAGCUAAAGGUGGUCAGAGCCUCAGGUAAUCCUCCCUGUACAGGAGAGCGGGAGGGCAGACAGGGGACCCGCUGGGCCCCCGGGGCACUGGUUUUUGUUUCUUUUCCCAUCGGGGGCGGGGAGGGCUCGGGCAGAGGGAGUGGCCCGGCUGUCCUGUCUGCCCCUCAGCAUGAUUGGGGCCUUGGAAACGAAUGCUGGCUGAGCAGCCCGGGAGUUCAGGCACCAAGUAAGUGCUCUUUGUCACCCUGCCCAAGGGGACCACAGGAGUGGAGGUGGCAGGCCAGUCCCGGGUACAGCCUCAAGUGGGACUCCAAGAUUCCUCAGAACAGCCAGGGGCUGAGGGGCAAGAGCAGGCCCUCUGGCCUCCUGGAAAAAAGGAAGGAGGCAGAAAGGAUUAGAGGCGAGAACAGUAGGAAAGAAGCCUAUGGAAUGUUGUUAGGGAGACCAGACCUGAUUCUCAAGUCCACAGCAGUGUGUCGAUGAAGCACUGACGGGAGCGCUGUCUCCCUCCCCCAGAACGGUCUCCACGCGCCGAGCAGGCCACGCUGCAAGCCCUCUUCCAGGACAUCCUCCACACUCUGCCAGCCCUGGCUCAGGCAGCGGCCACACCAGGUGACCGAGCCGAGGCCACGCCUGCCCCGGUGCACUGCGGCAGGACCAAGGUGUUCAUGACCGACUCCACGCUGGAGCUUCUGGAACGCGGGCGUGCCCAGGUGCUGGAGCAGUGCGCCCGCUGCAUCCAGGGCGGCUGGAGGCGACACCAGCGCCGCAAGCAGGAGAGACAGAGGCAGGCUGCUGUGCUCAUCCAGGCAGCCAUCCGUUCCUGGUUGACUCGGAAGCACAUCCAGAGGCUGCACGCAGCUGCCACGGUCAUCAAGCGCGCGUGGCAGAAGUGGAGGAUCAGAAUGGCCUUCCUUGCUUCUAAAGAACUGGAUGGUGUGGAAGAAAAACACUCAUCUCAAGCUCCCCGUUCCCCGAGUUCCCUCUCACUGCCCCAGGCACAGAGCAGGCUCCCAGGAGGAGCAACUCGACUCUGGCCCCUGGGCCUGGUCCUGGCCAACGCGGCUGUGGGAGUCCGUGGCUUUCAGAGGAAACUGGUGGUCUUCGCCUGCCUCCAGCUCCCCGUGGGCGCCCCCAGCAGCUAUACCAUCCAGACAGCACAAGACCAAGCCGGGGUCAUGUCCAUCCGGGCACUGCCUCAGGGCUCAAUAAGAUUUCGCUGCAGAAAGUCUCCACUGCGCUACGCUGACAUCUGCCCCCAGCCUUCACCUGACAGUGUCACUGGCUUUAAUCAGAUCCUGCUGGAAAGACACAAGCUGGGCCACGUGUGAUCCAUCCUCACCGGGCUGGGCCAUCCUCUGGGCCUUUGUCUCCACACCGCCUUCUCCUGCCAGCUGCCUUGCCAGAGACAUUUAAUCAGCACACGGCUGCCAAGUGACUCCCACAGCGACUCUGAGCACACGUGGGAGAGCGAUGGCUCCAGCCUGCAGCCCAGGCCAGGACUCUGACCUACGCCUCAAGCCCUGACAGUUGUCAGGGUUGGUAGGUACCAAAGCAGAUCCUUCACAGAUCCGACUCAGUGGUGCUGGCCCUCACUACAGUGGGCACCCUCACUACAGUGGGUACCCCAUGCCUCAAACCCCACUUGAAAUCAGCUCUAAAAUGUUGGCUGGGGGAAAUUGGGCAUUUUAGUUCCUUUAAAAGGAACAGAACCUUACUAUUUAAAUAUUUGUUGAUUUAUUUAAUAUAAUUUCAAACAACUAGAUUAGGAAUCAAGAACGCUGAGCAAUGCAAUGUACCAUAGAACCACCCCAUCCUAAUUUCAUUUAGAAACACUAAGAAAGUUCUAACUCAAAUGGGUGUGAAACUUGAUAUCAUUUAUGUAACUGUACCAAAAAUAAAACAUGUAAAAACAA